rnacentral:rRNA from 1 species
GACAGAGGUGCCGAGCGUUAGGCGGAAUCACUGGGCUUAAAGCGUGUGUAGGCGGAUCCGUAAGUACCUUGUGAAAUCCCACGGCUCAACCGUGGAACUGCUUGGUAUACUGCGGGUCUUGAGCCAUCUAGGGGCAACCGGAACAAACGGUGGAGCGGUGAAAUGCGUAGAUAUCGUUUGGAACGCCAAUGGUGAAAACAAGUAGCUGGGGAUGUGCCGACGCUGAGACACGAAAGCCAGGGGAGCGAACGGG